CAAUGGGCGCAAGCCUGAUGCAGCGACGCCGCGUGAGGGAUGACGGCCUUCGGGUUGUAAACCUCUUUCACCAGGGACGAAGCGCAAGUGACGGUACCUGGAGAAGAAGCACCGGCCAACUACGUGCCAGCAGCCGCGGUAAUACGUAGGGUGCGAGCGUUGUCCGGAAUUACUGGGCGUAAAGAGCUCGUAGGCGGUUUGUCGCGUCGUCUGUGAAAUUCUGCAGCUUAACUGCAGGCGUGCAGGCGAUACGGGCAGACUUGAGUACUACAGGGGAGACUGGAAUUCCUGGUGUAGCGGUGAAAUGCGCAGAUAUCAGGAGGAACACCGGUGGCGAAGGCGGGUCUCUGGGUAGUAACUGACGCUGAGGAGCGAAAGCGUGGGUAGCGAACAGGAUUAGAUACCCUGGUAGUCCACGCCGUAAACGGUGGGUACUAGGUGUGGGGCUCAUUUCACGAGUUCCGUGCCGUAGCUAACGCAUUAAGUACCCCGCCUGGG
rnacentral:rRNA from 1 species